CCUACGGGUGGCUGCAGUAACGAAUCUUCCGCAAUGGGCGCAAGCCUGACGGAGCAAUGCCGCGUGUGGGAUGAAGCGUCUCUGACGUGUAAACCACUGUCAGGGGGUAGAAACAAUGAUCACCCCCAGAGGAAGUGGCGACUAACUCUGUGCCAGCAGUCGCGGUAAUACAGAGGCCACAAGCGUUAGUCGGAAUCACUGGGCUUAAAGGGUGCGUAGGUGGGUCUGCAAGCGUCCUGUGAAAGCCCCCAGCUCAACUGGGGAACAGCAGGGCG
rnacentral:rRNA from 1 species